rnacentral:rRNA from 1 species
CAAUAGCGUAUAUUAAAGUUGUUGCAGUUAAAAAGCUCGUAGUUGGAUUUCUGUGUUGGUUUGACGGCUCGUGAACCCUAGUGGAACAUGAGAUCAGUCUAGAUCGGCGCAUCUUGCCACGAACUGCUCUGGCCUUUACUGGUUGGGGUUUCAGGGACUGGCUCGUUUACUUUGAGAAAAAUAGAGUGUUCAAAGCAGGCGUUUGCCUUGAAUAUGUUAGCAUGGAAUAAUAAUAUAGGACUUUGGUUUUAUUUUGUUGGUGUUUGAGAACCGAAGUAAUGAUUGAUAGGGACCGUUGGGGGCGAUCCGUAUUCUGAAGCGAGAGGUGAAAUUCUUAGACCUUUGGAAGACGAACAACUGCGAAAGCAUUUGCCAAGGAGGUUCUCUUUAAUCAAGAACGAAAGUUGGGGAUCGAAGACGAUUAGAUACCAU